UUAGGGAUGGGUAGGUAGGUUGAUUAUGAGUGCAUAGAAAGGUUAAAUCAGCAAGGCGGAGCAUCCAUUCUAUACCUUGAAGUAAUCCUAAUUCUUGUAAACAAUGUAAAUCAGGAUACCUGGUGGAUUGGACGCCUCGCUGUUUGAAACGCUCAAACUGCUCCCUUUGAUAAUUUUCAUCUUCGGAUCGGAAGAUGAUAUUUCCG
rnacentral:lncRNA from 1 species